UUCUGUAUGUGAGUGUAUCUUUGUAUUAUUUUCUUAAGUGAAAGUUAACAGAUAUGUAUGUGAGCUCACAUCGUUCUUACGCUGGCUAGUGCACAGUAGUGUGUAUGGUCCGUUUGCACUAUCUCUUAUGCAAGGUUAAAUUGAUAAAUUAUGGUCUUGUUAAUUAGCCAUGUUAACCAUUCGAUCACUAAUUGGUUAGUCCUUGAGGGACUAGUGCCGCAAUAAGUUAAAACAAGUAUAGACUUAGUAAUAGUCAGUAGUUUAGGUUUGGUGUUUUUGGUUCAUUCGUCUUUUGCUAACUAAUGAAAUGAUUAAGUUAUCAUUUUUUAAGUUAUGGGUCUGAUAAGACUAGUACUAACAUAUACUGAGUUUCCUUUUCUUCUACAUGGUAUGGCUAACAAAGAAGAGUAAAAGAAGAUGACUAGAGGUUACUGCUAUCAUUUGUUUUUAAUACGGAUUUAUGUGAAAAUUCUGUUAAGCUUCAAUCUUGGAAAAAUAAUUGAAAAUCUUCUCUAGUUAGAUUAAUAUACUAUGUAAGUUGGGUUUAGUGCUAGCCCCUAUUUGCCUCAAACUUUCAAGUCAAAUGUGAUAUUAUCAUCUUAUUAUUAGAUUGUCCAUUUAAUUUUGUUAUCUCUGUUUUCACUCACCUUGUCUGAUACAGUGACUAAGAAAUGUGGGAUUGUCGAACGAGGUUAACUAUAGUAACCUUCGGAUAAUUAGUUGUAAGAUCUGUGGAUAGUUGAGAUAUAUAGCUGUCCCGGUUAGUAUAUUUGUGUUUGUACUCAACUUUUUGGAUCAAGUUACGGAGCUUUAGUUAACUAAAACGUGGUUGCAACGAGUUCCCAAGCAUCUUUUUAUUGCAUUUCGUCAUAAUACGCUGAUUGGAUCUUCAUUUGAAAUCUCUGUGAUUCAAAAUUGUGACGAGAGGAGACUGUUUGCGCUGAAAUGUGUUUGUUCUUUUUCCCCUUACCUCAUAUAAUUAAGCUUAUAAGUAUCAAAUGGGUUGGAAUGGGUUUUGUAUAAUCCAGAACUCCACGGGUCCGUGGUCCGUAUGUUUUAGUUGAGAGAAAACUGUACGUCAGAAGCAAUUAUUACUUUGUGCAGAAUGGAGAGGGUUUCUUCUUGUUCCUCAGUCAUUCUUCCACAAUGAGCCAUGGAACUUUGUCGAAUUGGGCGGUGGAGUCCUAGGGUGUAAAGGGUUUCAUUCUAGUUUUAGGACCACUCUGGGGGAUUAUCUCUGAAUAUUGGCUAAGCGAACGCUUAAAAUUUAAGGAUCAAGGUUGGGUCACUGGACUGAAUGAGUUGGCUUGUCGUAAACAAACUUUUGCUAUCAACUGAAAAUGGGAAGAUGCGGAUGCGCAACCUGUAGAAGUCACAGUGUAUGACUAUGAUGUUACAAAGUUUAGUAAUAUCAAGUUACAUGACUCUGCUAAUUACCCAUGCAUCAAAGUGGGUAAACCGAAAAGGCCGACAUACAUCCCAAUUGGGGUAAAAAGAUGAUACCUGUUAUAUGUUGUGUUGUUUUAAUGUUUUGUGCAUAAUGAAAAAAUGCUUAUGGUACAUACUAUAGCUUGUGGUUGUUGUUCUCUGUAGCUCUGUGAGUUGGUAUCUUAACAACGAUACACAAAGGCACUGUCCACUUUCCAAAGAUCUUCACUUGUGGAAAAAUCAAGGCAAAAACCCCGGGAGCGUAUGACUGCUUUGAGAAAUCUGAGCAUCUCCAUAGUUUUAUUCUAUUUUUAAUAGCACACAGCCAAAGCUUCUGGAAUUUCUCCGAUUUUGAAGAGCCAUGAAACUUACCUCUGACACUUUAAUCUCGUUUUUAUCCUGAGAUUAUUUUGCUUGGGUAUGCGCCCAGGCGUUGUACUUGGAAGAGAGUCUUGAAUGUUUCCGUGUGUGAAGUAUGACGUUGAAACUGAUCCUCCGGUAAGUUAUCAAUACAAUAGUCUCUAGUUCAAUACUUCUCUGUUGCCAUUAUACCUUUUCUGUUUUUAAGUUGUAGAAAUUAAAUUAUUGCUAAUAAUGAGAGUUGGAACACCUUAUAACUGCUCAGCAAUAGCCUAAAUUAGUUCGCCUUCUGUUUGAUUUCUCUGGAGGGAUUCUGGUACUGAUUAGUUAAGAAUGGGCUUGUAAAUAAAUAUUUUAGUUUGAGCAAAUGCCGACUGCGUCUCUGUGGACACCAAAAGUAUAUGUAACUUUUGGUUGUUGUCUGCGGAGAACUAGGGAUAUGAAUACAAUCGAUUUGCUUGAGCACUUGCCAGCUUUACAACAGCUCCUUUUCCGAGUUCUUGGUUGCCAGAACUUAUCAUAGCCACAAGUAGCAGCAGUUUACAACUUCGUGAUCCAGUUAGCACUUUCAAUGGUCGCUGGGGAAAGCAUUAAAAUCUAGAAUGCCAUCAGCGAUGGUACAGUUAAUUUGGUUGACAAGGGUAUUAGAGAGGAUUUGCGUACAUGUUUCUGAUUCUCCUUAAUCCGCUGCCAGGGAAUUUUUUUUCUUUUUCUUUGAGGAGGUGUCCUUAACAUGUCAGUUUUUAUUCCUUUGUUUUUCUGUUCAUAUAAGGGAAUCAUACGUUGUUGUUGUUUUUGUUUUUUUAAUCAUCCAAAUACAAGAUUUAGAUGCUAAUAUUGAUAAGACAUGGUCCCCAUAAGACAUCCUUCAAUAGACAACCAAUUUAC